AAAAGAUAGCUUUUUAGACUUGUAGAUCAAUCGGUAAAUUAAUUUUGCAACAUGUAGAAAAAUUAAUACGAUAUGAUAAAAUAGGAAUCUAAUGUAUUCAUUGAUUCAGCUGAAGUAAUAAUAAGAGAAGUAGAAAGAAUCUUUUGAAAAGGACAUAAAGUAAUGAACGAUGAUUAAGAUUAAAAUCAAAAAAUUCCACCAACUGUGUGUAGUAUACAAAACAACAAUGUUUUAUUUGAAACAACAUACAAUCACGUGCCACAUAUUUUCCUUAAAAGCCAUCGGUUCGCACGUUCCGCGAGACGAUUGGUCGACGUUAUAUCAUCAUUUGUAACGUAGAAAUGUGUUUACAUGCGAAAUUUUCCCUCCAAUAUGGCUCUGUCUUUUUAUCAACAUAAGCCACUCGGUCUCAUCUUGCAUUUUCCCUUGAUCUGUCGUGGAACUCGCGAACCUCGUUUAUCCCUUUUACUGCUUAUUCAAUGGUAUUAUUUUUUUUUUCAAUCUUCUUCCUCUUCUUCUUCUUUUUUUUUUUGGUAAUUUUAUUUUAUCAUUAAUAUAAUCUUGUUUUUAUUUUUCCCCCAUUAAAAAUUUACGCUGACACAAAUACAACGCCUCUCGUUUUUUUCUCGAGGCCUUCGAAAAAAGAUCUUCAUUUUUGGCGAGGUUUUUCGUCGCUAAACAUAUUUCUUUGCUGGUCUACGCUAAUCCUAAGGUUUUUUUUUUUCCUCUCUUGUGUCGCUAAUAUCCUCGAUGACAAAGACGAAAAAGCACGAACGAGGACACUUGAGAGAGAGAUCGCUGUCUUAUCUUAUCUUUUCUUUUCCUCUUUUAUAUAUUUCAUCAUCUCUUUCGA